GACGAACGCUGGCGGCGUGCUUAACACAUGCAAGUCGAACGGUGAAGCGCCUUCCUUUUUGGUGGGUGUGGAUGAGUGGCGAACGGGUGAGUAACACGUGAGUAACCUGCCCCCUUCUUCUGGAUAACCGCAUGAAAGUGUGGCUAAUACGGGAUAUUCUGGGUCUGUCGCAUGAUGGGUCUGGGAAAGAUAUUGUUUCGGUGGGGGAUGGGCUCGCGGCCUAUCAGCUUGUUGGUGGGGUGAUGGCCUACCAAGGCGGUGACGGGUAGCCGGCCUGAGAGGGUGGACGGUCACACUGGGACGGAGACACGGCGCAGACUCCUACGGGAGGCAGCAGUGGGGAAUAUUGCACAAUGGGCGCAAGCCUGGUGCAGCGACGCCGCGUGAGGGAUGGAGGCCUUCGGGUUGUGAACCUCUUUCGCCAGUGAAGCAGGCCUGCCUCGUCUGUGGGUGGGUUGACGGUAGCUGGAUAAGAAGCGCCGGCUAACUACGUG
rnacentral:rRNA from 1 species